CUUCCUCAUCUUGGCAGACGAGCAUGUUUUCUAGGACACAGUACUGUUUAAACUUUCGUGACUAGAUUACAUGCUCGUCUAUUAGGUUGAGAA
rnacentral:pre_miRNA from 1 species